rnacentral:lncRNA from 1 species
AAAAAUUACUUUAAAAUAGAGGAGGGGACGACAGAUCUUCAAAAUCUUAAAAGCUCAAUAGCUUUAAAAUAACUAAGUAAAUUUAGUUAGUAAAUUUGCAUCUGUUAUCUCAACAAUGAGUGAAUUACUUUUCUCUCCUUGCUCAUCUGUCUGUCUCUCCCCAUUUGCUCCUUAUUUAAAUCUUCCUUUAGCACUUGAAUGCAAUUUCUCUUUCAUAGCCUGCUUGAACCCUCACAGCCUGAAGAGAUUUCCCCCUUUUCUGUAUCCCACAAUACCUUAUGUUUAACCUUCUUAUAAUGCAUCACUUCUAUCUUGUAUGGGGAUUUGUGCAUGUGCCUUAUUUAUCCUUUAGUAUAGAAAUUCCUUGGGAUAAAGAAUCUCAUCUUGAGUUUCCAGUGUACCACAUUCACCACCUUAAAUAUAAUGGAUGGUCAAUUAUUGCUGAAAACGAAAAAGAAUAAAUUGUACUUUAAAUUAAAUAAAACACAUUUCCCAAUAGAAGGAACUAGGGCUUCUUAGAGAAAUGGCUGAUUCCAGGGCUGGGCAUAUAUAAAACAAAAAGAGGUUUUUGUUAAAAGAACACAGAAGCUAACCUGAAGGGGCUUCCACUAAUCAAAUACAGAAUGACUUGAGCAGCAGAAUGAGUUAGCAACCCAUUGAAUAAAAUAAGAACCCAUGAGUUCUCAAUAAGAUAAACAUGUCAAUGAAUAAAUCAAUUGAUGUUGCAGAAGAAAAGCUCUCCCUCACAGAAACAUUCAAGCUAAAUGUAGAAGACAUGAUUUGGGAUUAACUGAUACACACUACUAUGUAUAAACUAGAUAAACAACAAAGAUUUACUGUAUGGCACAGGGAACUAUAUUCAAUAUCUUCUUCAAUAUCUUCUAAUAAACUAAUGGAAAAGAAUCUAAAAUAUAUACACAAUCGAAUCACUUUGCUGUAUACCUGAAACACUGUGAAUCAACUAUACUUCAAUAAAAAAAAAAUGAUGGAAUUAGAAUAUUGCCACUUGGCAGCUACUAUAGGAAUACUUCUUCCAGAUAAGAGUCAUCAAAGAUGCUAAAGCUAGGCAAAAGUAGAGUUCCUAUUGCCGCUCAGUGGAAAUGAACCCAACUAGUAUGCAUGAGGAUGCGGGUUCAAUCCCUGGCCUCGUUCAGUGGGUAAGGAUCUGAUCUGGCAGUGCCCUGAGCUGCGGCGUAGGUCACAGAUGUGGCUUGGACCUGGCGUUGCUCCGAUUCAGCCCCUGGCCUGGGAACCAAAAGGUGUUAAAAUGUUACCAGCUGAGAAACCACAGUAAAGAUUAUUUAGGAAUUCUAAGAACUAUUUGUGCAAAUUUUCUCUAAAUUUGAGAUAAUUUUAAAAUGGAAAAAUAACUUCUUACAUGUAGAAGUAUAUAAGUAUUGUUUCUAAAUUAACCAAUUUUAAAAAUUACAUUAAAACACAUUGUAUCAGUUUUAAAUUUCCCCAAUUUUCUACUUUUUGGCCCCUCUAUUAGCCUCAGAAACUCUCUAUAUCAAUCAAUUCUUCUAUUUCACAAUUUUAACAAACAGCCCAUUAAUGUACAGCUGAUCCUUACAGAUGCUCUUAUUCAGUCCUCUGUAGAUUUGGGGUUGAGAUGGGAAACAGAAAAUAAAAAGAUACAUAUGAAAAAGUAAAUUGAAAGUGAAGUUCACAGCCACAUAGAACCAAGGGGAAAAGCAGUAAUUUGUGAAUAUGCUUUCCAUGGUGUCUGCUCUGGAAAGUAAUUUAUAGAGGGCAUGUGCUUUCCCACAUUUUAUCUUUGAGAGGAAGUGAGUGGAAGAUGCCAAGAAGGACUAAGGAACACCUAGUCCCAGAUUCAUAUUAGAUAGCAAUCAUCAGAAUGGCUGGUUCAUCCAGAAAUAAUGAUAGCCUGGCUGCCGUGUUCCUUCAACACCUGCUACCCCUUUUCACUAUUUAGUGAAAAAUAGAAGCUGUGAUACUGGGAACCACACAAUUCGGAAAUUCUAGCUUUAAUAGCAGGGCUCCAACUCACUCAGACCCAAGUCCAAAGUCUCUUACAUCCUUCUGAUAUGACCACAUGCCAAGCAAGGCAAAGCUCUAGGGCUCUCCAUCGGCUGGAAAGGAGAGAAGGUACACAAACAAAGGAAGUGUGGGAAAGUGAUAACAAAACAGUUAAGAGCUUAGAGAUGCUAACCUACUUUAGAAGAGAAGAACUUGAUGCAAGACCUGGUAGGAUAUAGAACUGAAGGCAAGAAGCGAGCCCCCUGAUGCCUUUUGUCCCAGACCCCAUGAUGUAGCCUGGAUCAUUGACAGACAACUUUGGGAAGCAGUUUGGAAUUCUCUGGGUGACCUACUCCUCUUGAGGAAGAUGCUCCAGAAUCAAAUGGGAGCUGUCUGGUUUGAAGUCUAGAGAGAGGAAAAGACCCACCACCAGUCAAAUAACACCACGACAUGGAGCAGAGGAAUCACCCAGCUGAUCUCUGCCCAAAUUAUGAUGCACAAAUUUGGGAGCUAUAAUAAUACAAUAGUUGUUUGUGCCACUAAAUUUGGGUGUAGUUCCUGAUGCAUCAAUAGAUAACUGGAUACUUGGGCCUCAGACUCCUCAUCCGUAAAAUAAAAAGAAGGAGCUCCUUCUUUUUUGGAGCUCCUUCUUUUUAUUUAUUUGGAUUCUUGGAGGAUUUCAUGACCUCCAAGAAUCUUGACAAUCCUCUAAGAAUCUCUUGCUAUCAGGUUAACCUGUUUAACCUGAGUGUUCAAUAAAUGUGUGACUGUGCAAUAUUGUGCUAUUCCUUCUAGCAUUUGGAUUGCAGCAAGAAAUACAUUUUUGAGAAAUUUCUUUAGCCCUGAGGAUUUUCUCCGAAAUUGGAAUGCUUGACCAAAUGGGAGCCUCAGAGCACACUGUGAAUGGGGGUUCACUCUGGUGAUGCACAGGACACCUUGCUGACUCUGUUCUCCUUUCAUUCAGAAUUCUACUAGUGACAACAGUAAACCAGGAGGCCAAGAGCCCCUUUGCUCAUUAAGAAACUGGCAUGAGACAAAGAAGAGCCAUUUCAGAAAUGAUGGAAUAAGAAAAUGUACAAACAAGACAAAAUUCCAUAAAUAGGAUAGGAAUGUAUUUCUCCUACAUACCAAUUUUCCUUAACAACUCCUUUGAGGGUUGUCAUUUACAAAUUUAUAUCAGCCAUACUUGAAUCCAUUUAUACUUUCACAGUCUUGGGAUAACAAGCUCCAUAUCAUGUUUAUAUUUAUAUAGCCUAAAUUUACCUCCUACAAGCCAGUUUUAGUAAUCUACCACCUCCUUCUCUCUGUGUGACCAGGUUUAGCAAAUUCAAAAAUCUAAGCUGUGAAACAAAAUACACUGAAAAUUAGCCAUGUUGAAUUCUUUGUUAAGUAAACCUAGAUGUAAAUAUAGAAAUGCAUAACAAUGAAAUACAUGGAGUUUUCCCAUCAAACAGAUUCCUAUGAAAACCUUGUCAGAAAAAGUAUGACACAAAGAUGAAAGAAAGAAAUAUUUUAAAAUAGCCUAAGGAGGAGUUCCCGAUGUGUCUCACAGUAGUGAACCCAACUAUUAUCCAUGAGGACUUGAGUUUGAUCCCUGACCUUGCUCAGUGGGUUAAGGAUCUGGUGUUGCCAUGAGCUGUGGUGUAGGUCGCAGACAUAGCUAGGAUCUGGCAUUGCUGUGGCCAUGGAGUAGGCCGGCAGCUACAGCUCUGCUUGAACACCUAGCUUGGGAACUUCCAUAUGCCACGGGUUUGGCCCUAAAAAGACAAAAAAAGGAGUUCCCUUCAUGGCUCAACGAUUAAUGAACCUGACUAGGACCCAUGAGAAUGCCGGUUCAAUCCCUGGCCUCGCUCAGUGGGCUAAGGGAUCCUGCGUAGCUGUGGGUAGUGGUGUAGGCUGGCAGCUGUACCUCUGAUUUGACCCUGGCCUGGGAACUUGCAUAUGCUGCAAGUGUGGCCAUACAAAGCAAAAAAAAAAAAAAAAAAAAAAAAAAAAAGAGAGAGAGAGAGAGAGAGAGAGAGAGAAUAAUAAUAACCUAAGGAGUUACCUGGCUAGGACUUCAGAACAUAGAGUGAAAAGGGCUUACCGACAGGUAGACCUAGGAGUGAAUCUCUUUUUACCACUUACUAUCUACAUGUCUUUGGCAAGUUCCUUGACCACUGUAAGACCACGUAAUUACACAUCCUGAAGAAAGACAUCCCAGUGGUUAAGACUGUGGCAAGGGAGCCAGCCUGCUUCGGUAACAUCUUAUAGCUGUGUGACUCUGGGAAAGCUACUUUAACCUCUCUGUGCUCAACUUUAACAUCCGUAAAAUGUGAAAGUAGUAAUACCUACUGCGUUGUGUUUUCAUGAGGUUUCAUGAGGUUUAAAUGGGAAAACCUUUACAACAUGUCUGGGACUUGGUAAAUACCAUAAAAGUAUUAGCCAUUAUGAUUACAGUAAGAUGUUCAAUAAAUAUUCACUCUUUUCCUUUCCUUCUUCUGCAGAUUUUAUAAUAGGCUCUGCUAUUUUCUUGUUCCAUGGACGGCAGACACUCAUAUAAUGUACAUGAUAGUUGCUAUUAUACCUAUAAGCCAGCUUAAUUGUUUAUAAAUAGCUAAUACAUACUAAUAAAUACUACUAUAUAAUGUUAUUAUAAAUACUAAUAACUGAUGUUAAAGUAGGAGAGGCUUUGGACAAAAGGAAGAAUUUCCAGACUGCUAAGCUUACUAUUGUGAUACUAAUAGAGGUUGUGGUGGUGGGCUCUGAUGCUGUCUUUCCUGAGUCUUUUGGAAGAGAAAGGAUAGGAUGUGCCCUGGUCACUAGUUAAGAAAUUCAUCUAGAAGUUUCCGCAGUGGCACAGUGGACUAAGAAUCCGACCACAGAGGCUUGGAUUGCUGUGGAGGUGUGUGUUCCUUACCGAGCCUGGCCCAGUGGGUUAAAAGAUCUGGCAUUACCACAGCUGCCAUGUAGGUUGCAGCUGUGGCUCAGAUUCAAUCCCUGGCCUGGAAACCUCCAUAUGCCACGGGUGUGAUCAUAAAAUUAAAAAAAGAAUUCACUUGAUGAGCACAUAGGAGUCAUUUCAUAUGUGUUUAGGGAAAGAAUGACCCUGAAUGACGGCUGGAAAAAGAGUUUCUUGGGAUAUCCUUCCAAUUCACGAAUUCUUAAAAUGUCCUGAAAAUGUAAAGCAUGUGGCAUUUGAUUUCUUUGGAUGUAAAUUUCAUUUCCUUUAUGGUCUCCCUGGUUUCGUUCUGUCUUUGACCCAUUGCUGGAAGGCUGACAUCCAUGUACUGGGCAGCCAAAGGCAGUCAGCACUCAAACAUUGGGAGCAUCCAGAUACUAUUGCCCAGGAUUAUGUCCCGGGGUUCAGGGCCAAGGCCAGUGAGUAAAGCAGACUCACUCACAGCCUAUACCUCCUUAGUCCACUUUGGUGUUGACCUUGUUACCAAACACAAGUUCAUGUUCCCAAUGCACAAUGAGGUCAAGCAAACUGAAAUAUCGGAAUUUGGAGCAGAGAAUGACUUACUGCGAGGUCAAGCAAGAGCAGGUGGCUCAUACUCAAUAAAAAACCCUGAACUCCCCAAAGCGUUUCAGCAAAGCCCUUUUUUAAAGGCAAAGUCAGGGACGGGGGGGAGUUGCAGGGUAAGUGAUCAGCUCCUGCCUGUACAAUUGGUUGAUGGUGGUCAAUACUUAGGUGCCAGAAGGUCUAGGGGCUACUUGCUCAGGAUCAUUAAGUAGUUAAUUUCUUCCAUUUGGGUGGUUUUAGCAUUAAAAAAACUUGGGAAAUAGGGAUCAGCUAUUAUUAUGUGGGUACUUCAGAGGGGAGCUAAAACAGGAUAUGGUUCUGCUCAGUUACAACCUGAUGCAGAUUCUUCAGUUUCCUGUGUCUGUGCUAGAUGGCAUUCUCUAGUGUGGAAUCCUCACCUAACAAGGGGUGGGGACUGGGUGGAAAAAGAGCUUGCAUCUAUCCGGACAAAACUCUACUUAAAAGAGACACAUGCAGCCGCAUGUUCAUUGCAGCACUAUUCACAAUAGCCAAGACAUGGAAACAACCCAAAUGUCCAUCGACGGAUGAUUGGAUUCGGAAGAUGUGGUAUAUAUACACAAUGGAAUACUACUCAGCCAUAAAAAAGAAUGACAUCAUGCCAUUUGCAGCAACAUGGAUGGAACUAGAGAAUCUCAUCCUGAUGAAAUGAGCCAGAAAGACAAAGACAAAUACCAUAUGAUAUCACUUAUAACUGGAAUCUAAUAUCCAGCACAAAUGAACAUCUCCUCAGAAAAGAAA